UACAGAGGGUGCAAGCGUUAAUCGGAGUUACUGGGCGUAAAGGGCGCGUAGGCGGUUUGAUGAGUGUGAUGUGAAAGCCCUGGGCUUAACCUAGGAAGUGCAUCGCAAACGAUUGAACUGGAGUAUAUGAGAGGGUGGCGGAAUUUCCAGUGUAGCGGUGAAAUGCGUAGAGAUCGGAAGGAACGUCAAUGGCGAAGGCAGCCACCUGGCAUAAUACUGACGCUGAGGCGCGAAAGCGUGGGGAGCGAACAGG
rnacentral:rRNA from 1 species